CACAAAAUGACUCUCGGCAACGGAUAUCUCGGCUCUUGCAUCGAUGAAGAACGUAGCGAAAUGCGAUACUUGGUGUGAAUUGCAGAAUCCCGUGAACCAUCGAGUCUUUGAACGCAAGUUGCGCCCAAAGCCAUUAGGCUGAGGGCACGCCUGCCUGGGUGUCAC
rnacentral:rRNA from 1 species